GGUUGGAAUAAGGAGGAGCAGUUGAGGUCUGUUUCUAUUAUGGUAAUGGAAAAACUACCAGAAGACAAUUACCAGGUUUUGAAAUAUAUCAUCAAAUUUUUAUCCAGGGUCAUGGAAAGAUCCGACUUGAACAAAAUGAACGCACAAAAUUUGGCUGUGGUCUUUGGUCCAAAUUUAGUGUGGUCUGAAGUUGUGUCUAUGUCCCUAGCUGCCAUAGGUCCAAUAAACUCAUUUACCCAGUUUUUACUCUUGCAUUUUAAUGAGAUCUUCAUGAUUUGAAGUUAGUUUUUGCGUUUUUGUCAUAUGAUAUUUGGUAAUUGUAAUAAAAAUUAGUUGAAAAGUCAUGAUAGAG
rnacentral:misc_RNA from 1 species